rnacentral:lncRNA from 1 species
UUCUGGCUUUUUAUCAGUAUGCAAAGUCAUUUAAUUCAGACGACUUUGAUUACGAAGAGCUGAAGAGUGGGGACUAUGUCUUCAUGAGGUGGAAGGAGCAGUUCCUGGUCCCAGACCACACGAUCAAAGACAUCAGCGGUGCUUCCUUCGCUGGCUUCUACUACAUCUGCUUCCAGAAGUCGGCGGCCUCCAUAGAGGGCUACUAUUACCACCGGAGCUCGGAAUGGUACCAGUCGCUCAACCUCACGCACGUCCCCGAACACAGCGCGCCCAUCUACGAGUUCCGGUGACAGCGGCGGGACAGCAGCCGAGUAAACUGACCUUUGGCAGAAAAGCACUUCGCCACCAAGAUUGUGUACCUGCCAGAGCCAGGAGGUGUGUCCUGUCUCCCCGCGAGCAGACUGGCGUCAGAAAGCGUGACUGUGCACCCACAGACCCGGGCAGCGGGCGGCCGGGCAGGCGGACGCGGCCUCGGCCCGUCCCUGGCCGGGCAGUGUGGUCUUAGGCUGUGUUUAAGCGACCUUCCGAGCACUUUCCUCCCCGCGUAGCUGCUUCUCUGUCACCGAGACGGCCCUCCCUCCUCCCCCAGCCUUGGUGCUCAGCGGCCCCCACCCAGGCCCCUGCCCCCCGUUCCUUAGUCUGGUAGCUCAAGAGAAGGCAGGGCCCCAGCGCAUGUGCCCCCCCAAGAGCUGCGCAGGGCGUAGGGGGUCGCCAGUGGAGUCGGGGCGCUGCCCAGCCCUGUGAUGUUGGCGCCAAGGCGGGCGGUGGCCGGCGGGUUCCUCGGGCCUGCGUGGGGUCCCCGGGUUUAAGGCUUCCCGACCCCUGGCAGGAACAGCUUCCAGUCCUGCUUACUCAGCACGUUUGCUCCAAACUUUUGAACUUGAGGGCAAUACUAACCUUUAAAAAAAGAAGAAAAGAGGUUUUUUUAUUACAAAAUUAUUUUUAUGGUCCCUUUAACAAGGACCCUGUGACAAAUGCACAAUUAUUCAGAAUUACAUUUUAGCGUUUUCACAUUGAAAACAGCAAAUGUUGACCUAGUAAUUUUUAUACUUAUAUCUAUAUGUAAGUGUAUAUUUAAUCAACCAGCAGUUCGCAACUGGUCGUCCUGGUACAGAAGUUUUGCAGCGCGGUGUAAAUCAAAGCGCUAAACACGGGCACCGUUCUGGGGCCAGUUUAGCGCUUGUACCUCCUCCUCUGCUGCAAACAGCGGGGCUUCGUGCGACCUUCUCCAUCCGGCAGGAGGGGCGGGCGCCCCUAAACCAUCAGCUCGGCAGGGGCGGGGCGGGAGCACGCGCAUGCGCACCCCCGGAGAACGCGAGGCUCUCGUGCCAAAGUGUGUGUGUGCGCGUGUGUGCAAGGUGGUUUUGUUUUAUUUAAAUGUGUAGAAAGCUUAAGGUGGCAUCAGCCACCUCUGCAGGUGCGGGUAGGGCCCAGGGGAUUGGCAUUGUGUGGGGUUUACAAGACUCGCUCGGAACACGAGAGGGGAAGCUUGUAACAGCGAGGCAGCGUCAUGACCCAGGGAGCAAGACAAGCGAGCGUUGUGUCCGUGGGUUGUGUCCGUGGUCGAGGGAGAAGGCACAGCCCUGCGCCUGGGUCGGGGGGGGAGGGGAUCGGAUUCUCAAAAGUGACUUCCUGGAUCGACGACCGUACUGUAGGGUCCUGAGCGUGCGUGUCAGGCGAAGCCUUAAAGGAGAGGUAUCGGGGAUGGCGUGGGUGGGCGUCGGGACCCCUGGGCUGUGUGGUCCUGAGGCCCCCUGCAGAGCUGCAGCCAGCCCACCAGAAAGGCCAGGGCCUAGGGACCGGGAACGUAGCCUGGUGGCUUCCGUGGAAGGAUGUGCAUCUGGUGCAUCUCCAGAGGCGAGUCACAUGUUUUCCUGAUUUAAAGCCCUGAAGGGCAGCAGAGUGGCCGGCUCUGGUCAGAGACCUCCUGCCACCUCAGUUCAGGGACGGCCACCUGCGUUGUACCCGGUCCUUGAAGGACUCAGGUGGGGGUGAGGUCACCCUGGAGCUUGCUGGGCCCUCUAGUGGGCAGUCGGCGGGCAGGGUGUCUGCACGCAUGGCUGCCACGCUGCCGCCCAGUGGGCCAGGCUGCGCGUGGGGACUGAGCUAGGGACGCUGGCCCUUGGGGGACACGUCUCUGAUGAGGACUGGUUUUCGUGCCACCCUGUCUGUUGAGGAUGCCGAAGAGAUGGCAUCGUGUCCCCAUAGCAGCUCACAGAGCAGCCCCUGCCUGCCCUGCCCUCCCCCGGUGCCGGUUCCAGAGAGUCUGGCGGCUGUCCCCAUCUGCUGCUUCUGUCCUGGACCCGUUCCCCGUUAGAAACGGGUGCAAACGGCGGGUUUCCGGCCGCCCUCCCCCACCCCGUCCUGAGGGCCCAGCUCCCCCUCUGCUCAGAAGGCUUCCACCCGCAGCCCCAGCCUCGCCACCCGCCUGCGCGGGCAUCCCCCCCCGCCGCCCCUUCUCACCUGACAGCGUCUCAGCUGCGGUCCCAAAGCAACCAAGCAACGCCUUGUGCGAGGCAGACGGCCCCUUGGCUGCUGGAUCCGUCCGUGGUGUGAGGCAUCACAGACUCCAGGGAGCAGAGGGGCUCUUCAAUGUCUUUUGCUUUCAGAAACAGGGAAUUUAUAUUCUAAGGCCUUGAAUUGAUUUUUUUUUCCUCAUAAAGUAGUCAGAUAAGCUAAUUUUUAAGAAGAAAUGCCAUUGAGGAUGUGCAUUGUGGUUUAAAAUUACUAACAAGUUCUGCGAAAGAAAAAUAACAUUUGAUUUUGAAUCUUCUGUGUUUUUAAAAAUUAGAUUGGAGUGGACGAAAAGGAUGGGUUUUUGUUUCUUCAGGGAGGACGUGUGAAAAGGGUUUUGAGGGUUUGGGCUGGGAGAAAUAUUUUGCAGAGCUAUCAAUGUCCAAAUAAUUUUUAAAAAAUAAUAAAGGUAUUUAAGCAGU